ACGUCAAGUCAGCAUGGCCUUUAUGUCCGGGGCUACACACACGCUACAAUGGCCGGUACAAUGGGUUGCAAAACCGCGAGGUGGAGCCAAUCCCCAAAGCCGGUCUCAGUUCGGAUUGCAGGCUGCAACUCGCCUGCAUGAAGUUGGAAUCGCUAGUAAUCGCGGAUCAGCAUGCCGCGGUGAAUACGUUCCCGGGCCUU
rnacentral:rRNA from 1 species